rnacentral:rRNA from 1 species
AUACGUAGGGUGCAAGCGUUAAUCGGAAUUACUGGGCGUAAAGCGUGCGCAGGCGGUUUUGUAAGACCGAGGUGAAAUCCCCGGGCUCAACCUGGGAAAUGCCAUUGUGACUGCAAGGCUGGAGUGCGGCAGAGGGGGAUGGGAUUCCGCGUGUAGCAGUGAAAUGCGUAGGUAUGCGGAGGAACACCGUAGGUGUAGGCAAUCCGCCGGGCCAGAUUAGGCGCAUCUGCACGAAAGUGGGGGGAGCAAACCGGUUUAGAUACCCUUGUAGCCCACUCCCUAAAAGGUGUCAACGGGUGGCUGGGGAUUUAUUUUCUGAGUAACGUAGGUACCAUGAGACGGGGACCGCCUGGGCAGUACGGUAGAAAGGUGAAAACUCAAAGGAAGUGCCGUGG